rnacentral:rRNA from 1 species
UGCCUAAGACAUGCAAGUCGCACGGACUGUUUCGGCAGUUAGUGGCGGACGGGUGAGUAACACGUAGGUGACCUGCCCCAAAGUCGGGGACAACUAGGAGAAAUCUUAGCUAAUCCCGGAUGUGGACCCACCCCCUGGGGUGUGUCUAAAGCUUCGGCGCUUUGGGAUGGGCCUGCGCUGGAUCAGGUAGUUGGUGAGGUAAUGGCUCACCAAGCCGACGACCCAUAGCUGGUCUGAGAGGACGACCAGCCACAGGGGUACUGAGACACGGACCCCACUCCUACGGGAGGUAGCAGUUAGGAAUCUUCCCCAAUGGGCGAAAGCCUGAGGGAGCGAUACCGCUUGAAGGACGAAGCCCCUCGGGGUGUAAACUUCUGAACUCGGGACGAUCAUGACGGUACCGAGGUAAUAGCACCGGCUAACUCCGUGCCAGCAGCCGCGGUAAUACGGAGGGUGCGAGCGUUACCCGGAUUUACUGGGUGUAAAGGGCGUGUAGGCGGUCUCUCAAGUCCGAUGCUAAAGACCAAGGCUCAACCUCGGGAAUGCGUUGGAUACUGUGAGGCUAGACGGUCGGAGAGGGUAGCGGAAUUUCCGGAGUAGCGGUGAAAUGCGCAGAUACCGGAAGGAACGCCAAUAGCGAAAGCAGCUACCUGGACGAUUUGUGACGCUGAGGCGCGAAAGCGUGGGGAGCAAACCGGAUUAGAUACCCGGGUAGUCCACGCCCUAAACGUUGAGUGCUGGGUGUCCGACAUCUGUUGGGUGCCGUAGCUAACGCGUUAAGCACUCCACCUGGGAAGUACGGUCG